rnacentral:tRNA from 13 species
UGUCAGAAGUGGGAUUCGAACCCACGCCCACAUUCGUGGACCAGAACACUCAUAGCCCUGCUGUAGUACAAGGAACUUCCUUUAGUAUAGCGCCUUAGACCGCUCGGCCAUUCUGAC